GUUUGUUUACUCUUUUACUUGCUCUUUAAUCACUAUCCUGGGUCUGGACAGAAGUUGAGAAUUUAUGAUUUCUUUCUUUCUUUGCAGUGCAGGUGGAAUAGUGUUGCCAUCCUCUGGACCCUUGUACCUCCAGCUUGUCUGUCUGCAGUGGGCAGGCCCUUGAGGUCUACCUCAAACUCUGUGGCUGGAAAAAUGACCCAGUCUAUCUGAGCAGUGGUGAACUCCCCAGAUUGGUCUGGUCACAUCAACUAAAAUAGGACAAAAGUAGGAGACACCAAUGACCAGAUGCAUGAAGAACAAAGAAGGAGGAAAGCAGUCCUGAAAAUAGAAAUCACACCAAAAAAUAGAUGAUGAGUUGAUGAUGCCCCGAGGCCUUUGUUCAGGAACAUGCUGGCACUGUAAAGAGGAACACGACAGUACCACAUUCUUCUGUGAAGUGUGAGCGGCUUUUUCCUAAAGAAUUCUCCCUAGAGAAGGCCUUGUGGGUUGUGGCUAGCUCUGCUUUCCGUUUUUAUCCAGACGUGUUCUUUAAGAAACAUCCUGCAACAGCCCCCUUUAAAGUUCUCCUGUGUCAUACUGAGACAGAGCUUCCAGUCUUCUAUGAAGUACUUAGAAGACAUCUGUGCACAUCCAAAAUAAGUCAGCCUGAAACAGCAGCCUGCAUGUUUAAUGGAUUGUUCAGUCUGUCUAAAGCAAACAGAUCCACCUCGCCGUCUGCAGACAACUAGUCAACAAGCAGGCGAAAUUUCCAAACAAAAGACCAGAACAUUCCCCAACUCUCUUUAAACUGUCUUCUAAGAGCUGAAGAAGAAAACACUGGAUGGUAGGCAGUCCCUGAACCUUUCAGCUGGACUUUCCCACUUUAAGAACAUUGGUUUAUGCAGGGACCAUGUGACAUGGUAACAGGGAGCUCAGAUCUCUAAAUCUCGUUUCCCUUUGUGUCAUCCUUCCUCCACCCCCUCCUGGGUGGUGAUUCACCCUGUCUGCAAAAAGAUGUGCAGCUCGGUGAUGUUCUAAUAUGACAACUCCUUACUUUGCCUCAAGGAUUCUGCAAAAAUGGAGUGUGAUCAAAUGAGAUAAUGGAGGGUGGAAGAUGUUUGAAAAGGCUCAGGUAUUCCUCAGAUGUGGGACAUUAUUUCCACGGGCUUGAGAGGUUGACACGUGGCUAUUACUCAUUGGAACACUGUCCUAGGAAUUCUGAAAAGAAAUCAGGCCCACAUUUCAGAUAGGUGUGGAAGGUUCCACAUAGGGAGUGGAGGUUAAGGCCAAUUAUUGAGCCCCUAAGCCCAGUUCUAAAGAAUGUUCUGCCCUCAUGUUGCAGCCUGGUAAAUGCUAGAAUCUUGGUGACUCACUGCCUCCCCGAUGUCCUUAUUUGGUAGCAUGCAAAUAAAAAUGAUCAUUUUCAGAUUUAGAUUUCCUCA
rnacentral:lncRNA from 1 species